rnacentral:pre_miRNA from 1 species
AGUGCAAUUGUUGGAUCAUAUGAUGAGUGUGUUUAAUUUUGUAAGAAACUGCCAAACUGUCUUCCAAAGUGGCUAUACCAUUUUGCAUUCCCACCAGCAAU